UUUUUGAUUAUAAUUUAAGGUUUAAUCUGCUCAAUGAUAAUUUAAAUUGCCGCAGUAUCUUGACUGUGCAAAGGUAGCAUAAUAAUUAGUUUUUUUAUUGAAAGCUGGAAUGAAUGAUUGGACGAGAAAAUUACUGUCUCUUUAGAAUUUAUUUUUAAAUUUAACUUUUAAGUAAAAAGGCUUAAAUUCAUUUUAAAGACGAGAAGACCCUAUAGAGUUUUAUAUUAAUUUCGAUAAAGAGUUUUUGGUUAUUUUAUGUCUAUAUUUAUAUUAAUAUUUAGUUGGGGUGACUGGAAGAUUAAAUUAACUCUUCUAAUAAUUAAAUCAUUAAUUAAUGAAUACUUAAUCUAUUAAUUUUAAAUUUAAAAUAAAUUACCUUAGGGAUAACAGCGUAAUUUUUCUUUAAAGUUCUUAUUAAAAGAGAAGUUUACGACCUCGAUGUUGGAUUAAAAUUUAUUUUUGGUGCAGAAGCU
rnacentral:rRNA from 1 species